GACGAACGCUGGCGGCGUGCUUAACACAUGCAAGUCGAACGGAAAGGCCCUGCUUUUGUGGGGUGCUCGAGUGGCGAACGGGUGAGUAACACGUGAGUAACCUGCCCUUGACUUUGGGAUAACUUCAGGAAACUGGGGCUAAUACCGGAUAGUAGCUCCUGCUUCAUGGUGGGGGUUGGAAAGUUUCGGCGGUUGGGGAUGGACUCGCGGCUUAUCAGCUUGUUGGUGGGGUAGUGGCUUACCAAGGCUUUGACGGGUAGCCGGCCUGAGAGGGUGACCGGCCACAUUGGGACUGAGAUACGGCCCAGACUCCUACGGGAGGCAGCAGUGGGGAAUAUUGCACAAUGGGCGGAAGCCUGAUGCAGCAACGCCGCGUGCGGGAUGACGGCCUUCGGGUUGUAAACCGCUUUCGCCUGUGACGAAGCGUGAGUGACGGUAAUGGGUAAAGAAGCACCGGCUAACUACGUG
rnacentral:rRNA from 1 species